AGGAAAGCAGGGGAUCGCAAGACUUGCGCUUUUGGAGCGGCCGAUGUCUGAUUAGCUAGUUGGUGAGGUAAAGGCUUACCAAGGCGUCGAUCAGUAGCUGGUCUGAGAGGACGACCAGCCACACUGGGACUGAGACACGGCCCAGACUCCUACGGGAGGCAGCAGUGGGGAAUUUUGGACAAUGGGGGAAACCCUGAUCCAGCCAUGCCGCGUGAGUGAAGAAGGCCUUCGGGUUGUAAAGCUCUUUCAGCCGGAACGAAACGGUCACAGCUAAUACCUGUGACUACUGACGGUACCGGAAGAAGAAGCACCGGCUAACUACGUGCCAGCAGCCGCGGUAAUACGUAGGGUGCGAGCGUUAAUCGGAAUUACUGGGCGUAAAGCGUGCGCAGGCGGUUUUGUAAGUCAGAUGUGAAAUCCCCGGGCUUAACCUGGGAACUGCGUNUGAAACUACAAGGCU
rnacentral:rRNA from 1 species